rnacentral:rRNA from 1 species
GAUGAACGCUGGCGGCGUGCCUAAUACAUGCAAGUCGAACGCAUUGAGAGAAGUGCUUGCACUUUUCAAUUUGAGUGGCGAACGGGUGAGUAACACGUGGGCAACCUACCUGAUAGCGGGGGAUAACGAGUGGAAACAUUCGCUAAUACCGCAUAACAAUAGAGAAGGCAUCUUCUUUAUUUAAAAGGCGCUUUAAAGCGUCACUAUCAUAUGGCCCCGCGGUGCAUUAGUUAGUUGGUGGGGUGAAGGCCUACCAAGCCGAUGAUGCAUAGCCGAGUUGGGUGACUGAUCGGCCACAUUGGGACUGAGACACGGCCCAAACUCCUACGGGAGGCUGCAGUAGGGAAUCUUCCACAAUGGGCGAAAGUCUGAUGGAGCAACGCCGCGUGUGUGAUGAAGGCUUUCGGGUCGUAAAGCACUGUUGUAUGGGAAGAAAUGCUAGGCUAGGAAAUGAGCUUAGUUUGACGGUACUAUACCAGAAAGGGACGGCUAAAUACGUGCCAGCAGCCGCAGUAA